rnacentral:rRNA from 1 species
GCUGGCGACUAGAGCGUAGGGGCCACACUCGUUCCCAUCCCGAACACGAUCGUUAAGCCCUACAGCGCCGAUGGUACUCCGAUCGAGAGAUCGCGGGAG